rnacentral:misc_RNA from 1 species
CCGAGUUUACAACUCCCAAACCCCUGUGAACAUACCAAUUGUUGCCUCGGCGGAUCAGCCCGCUCCCGGUAAAAACGGGACGGCCCGCCAGAGGACCCCUAAACUCUGUUUCUAUAUGUAACUUCUGAGUAAAACCAUAAAUAAAUCAA